AGCGAACGCUGGCGGCAGGCCUAACACAUGCAAGUCGAACGAACUCUUCGGAGUUAGUGGCGGACGGGUGAGUAACACGUGGGAACGUGCCUUUAGGUUCGGAAUAACUCAGGGAAACUUGUGCUAAUACCGAAUGUGCCCUUCGGGGGAAAGAUUUAUCGCCUUUAGAGCGGCCCGCGUCUGAUUAGCUAGUUGGUGAGGUAAAGGCUCACCAAGGCUACGAUCAGUAGCUGGUCUGAGAGGAUGACCAGCCACAUUGGGACUGAUACACGGCCCAAACUCCUACGGGAGGCAGCAGUGGGGAAUCUUGCGCAAUGGGCGAAAGCCUGACGCAGCCAUGCCGCGUGGAUGAUGAAGGUCUUAGGAUUGUAAAAUCCUUUCACCGGUGAAGAUAAUGACUGUAGCCGGAGAAGAAGCCCCGGCUAACUUCGUGCCAGCCGCCGCAGUAAUAC
rnacentral:rRNA from 1 species